UUCCCUCACUGUCUGACAUAAAGAUUUGUCCUGCAACAAGAAGAGCACCAUGUUAUUGCAUGAUUAGUUAUAUAGAAAAAGACAAGUUUGGAAGCCCUCAACCGAUUGGAACAACAAAUACAACCAGUCAGUCAAAAGAACAGCUAGUUAUUGAGAAAUGUUGUUCAGCACGCUUUUCACUGAUUCGAAGAAGGAUUCUACGUAAUUGUACAAAAAGAAUACUUUGACAGAACUUGCUUGAAGUUGCUGUAAAAGACACAAAAGCAGCAGAAAGAGUAGCUGCUACUGUGAUAGUUAACAAACUUCCUUCACCCCAUGGCACUGUGCGUCUUAACCAAGAAAUAGGAAGGCAUCUUUUAGUUACUCCAGGUGCCCAAAGAAGAACUAACGGUCUUAAAGCACCGCGGAAAUGCAUUUAACCAUCCUUUCAUACCGUGACGC